rnacentral:tRNA from 1 species
AGCUAAGUGGCACAGUGGAUAGAGCACCUGGCCUGGAAUCAGGAAGACCUUAGUUCAAAUGUGACCUUGGCCA